rnacentral:lncRNA from 1 species
CAUGUUCAGUAUCACCAGUGUAGUCAUCUUCAUGACUACCGUGCUCUCGAUCUCCCUCCUUUUCUUCUUUAUGCUUCUCUUUAUCUUCGGUGUGAAAAUCAUCAAAUCGCCUUAGGAGAGCAGCAAGACUUUUGUCCACACUAGCAACGGAUUCCUCCAAACUUGUGAGCUUCUUGUUUGUGGCAAUCUGCGUAGCCUCCAACUGCCUCAGCUUUUCAUUUGUCACCUGCAAGUCGUUAUCGAGUCCCUCUGUGUGCAGCUUCACUUUCCUUUCAAAAUGUUGUAUGAUGCCCUUAGUGCGAGGUGUAUGUGGUGUUUCGUUACCAUCAUCUGUCCCUGGCAUGGUUCAAAGACAAAGACAACAAAAAGGCAAGUGAAGAAAUAAAAGCCCUACAACUACUAAACUACUAGGAUGUAGCUACAGCAAGUCGCUCACACUCAACAUGUAACACAAGUUCUUACCAAUUCUUACCUUGCUUGACAGGAGGGGUCGUCUGCCAACAAGUGUACAGCAAUGGACGAAGUGUAUCGGUGCUGCAGCACAAGACCUGUCAAGCUGUAGAGUAUGUGGAGCUAUAGGUGGGCUGAAACAAGGAACGAACUAGCACCAUGUUAGUUAUAAAAGCGAGCUGAAUAAGCGUUCGACGAUGGUACUGUGCUGGUCCUAGGCUAGACCGAGCUAGAGACGCGAGCCUGGACACAAAGAAAAACCAUAGCACACCUCCGAAAACAAGGUGGAACAAACCUAAAAUCAAUAUGAAAAACAACCCCUUUUUUUGAAUCUUCUCUUUUCUUUUUUUUUCUUUUUUUUUCUUUUUCUUUUUUUGGGCAACCUCAAAAACUGAUUAUAUGAACAAAAGAAUAUAAAAGAGCAAUUCGCUACACACACUUUUUUUCGAAAGUACAGGGGUAUUCCGGAAAAACAGCCCCUCUCUCUCUCUCUCGAGUAAGGCCGAACAAGUAUGGAGUUAUCUUUCUUUUUGGAUCACAGAAGGACUCACAUAGACGGAGUUCAGGCUAUAUUAACAAGCGGACUCCAAGUUCUAUUCGGUUUCCACUCAAAACCAACCACAAAACGGAUUCCACCUAUUGCCGAGUUCUACUCGGUUUCCUUCUUUUUUUUUAUCACGUUGGUGGAACUCAGAUUGGAACUCUACUCGAUCCGGACCAAAACCACAGUUCAAUUCGGACUUCGCAACAGAUUCGACAGCGAGAAGAUAUGGUAAUACUCGGCUGUGUAUAGAUGGUGACAAGAACUCGAAACUCUAAAGGACUAGACACUAAGACUAGCAACUCGACACAAACCAAAGCAACACAAAUUCAACAAGCCCUAACUAAAACGGUACUAGCCAAGGCACAAAGGUUUAAUAGGAUUAUGGAAAAACUAAUCUACUAUAUUUUUUUUGGCUUUUCUAGACUAUAGGAAAUUAAUUAAAAACAGCAAAGGAUUAGAAGUCUCUCACCGAAGAACCUUGCUCUGAUUACCAACUGAUGCGAACCCGCUAGGGUUUUUGCCCGAUCUUUUGAUGAGAGACGGGGAUAACUCGAUUGGUGGAUGGAGAUGACAUUCACGGCCCGACUACAGCCCUCAAGACCGCGCCAUAGCAACCGAUACACCACGUCCAAUAGCCGUCACGAUCUUGUGGAGCGCGACAACCAACCCCUAGGGCUCCCGUCCUGCAAGCAAUCGAAGAACUAGCAAGAACGAGGAAACAAGCACUGAAUUUGCAAGAUGAAUUGAAGGUUUCAAACUGAAUCUGAAUCAACAAUGGGGUUCCAAAGACAAGGAGACGGGCGGCUGAUCCUGCACACGCGCCUACAAGCAAGUAGCGAAGGCUAAACUUGAUCUAAACAAAAACCCAACGACCAUGGCGACUCUAGAGGGAUAUAAGUAGAUGGAUUGACGACUAAAGAGGUGUUGGGGUCGUCCUCCAACCCUAG